rnacentral:rRNA from 1 species
AUUGAACGCUGGCGGCAGGCCUAACACAUGCAAGUCGAGCGGGGUUUUCGGACCUAGCGGCGGACGGGUGAGUAAUGCGUAGGAAGCUACCCGAUAGAGGGGGAUACCAGUUGGAAACGGCUGUUAAUACCGCAUAAUGUCUACGGACCAAAGUGUGGGACCUUCGGGCCACAUGCUAUCGGAUGCGCCUACGUGGGAUUAGCUAGUUGGUGAGGUAAUGGCUCACCAAGGCGACGAUCCCUAGCUGGUUUGAGAGGAUGAUCAGCCACACUGGAACUGAGACACGGUCCAGACUCCUACGGGAGGCAGCAGUGGGGAAUAUUGGACAAUGGGCGCAAGCCUGAUCCGGCCAUGCCGCGUGUGUGAAGAAGGCCUUCGGGUUGUAAAGCACUUUCAGUAGGGAGGAAGCGUUGUGUGUUAAUAUCUGCUGGCUGUGACGUUACUCGCAGAAGAAGCACCGGCUAACUCCGUGCCAGCCGCCGCCGUAAUAC